rnacentral:snRNA from 1 species
GGAUGUGAGGGCGAUCUGGCUGCGACAUCUGUCACCCCAUUGAUCGCCAGGGUUGAUUUGGCUGAUCUGGCUGGCUAGGCGGGUGUCCCCCUCCUCCUUCACCGAUCCAUGUGCGUCCCUCCCGAAGCUGCGCGCUCGGUCGAAGAGGACGACCUUCCCCCCUCCCCACCCCCCCAGAGGACCGGUCUUCGGUCAAGGGUAUACGAGUAGCUGCGCUCCCCUGCUAGAACCUCCAAACAAGCUCUCAAGACUCUGGAUCUUAUUUAAACCUUCUGUUUUAUCAGAACACCUCUGGCCCUGUGUUGGUGCGG